UAGGGAAUCUUUCACAAUGGACGAAAGUCUGAUGAAGCAAUACCGUGUGCGGGAUGACGGCCUUAGGGUUGUAAACCGCUGUGGAAAGGGAGGAAUGAUUUGGAGAGGAAAUGCUCUGAAUUUGACAGUACCUUUUUAGAAAGUCACUGCAAACUACGUG
rnacentral:rRNA from 1 species